rnacentral:rRNA from 1 species
GAUUAACGCUGGCGGCGUGCCUAAUACAUGCAAGUCGAGCGAAUGGAUUAAGAGCUUGCUCUUAUGAAGUUAGCGGCGGACGGGUGAGUAACACGUGGGUAACCUGCCCAUAAGACUGGGAUAACUCCGGGAAACCGGGGCUAAUACCGGAUAACAUUUUGAACCGCAUGGUUCGAAAUUGAAAGGCGGCUUCGGCUGUCACUUAUGGAUGGACCCGCGUCGCAUUAGCUAGUUGGUGAGGUAACGGCUCACCAAGGCAACGAUGCGUAGCCGACCUGAGAGGGCGAUCGUCCACGCUGGGACUGAGACACGGCCCAGACUCCUACGGGAGGAAGCAGUAGGGAAUCUUCCGCAAUGGACGAAAGUCUGACGGAGCAACGGCGCGUGAGUGAUGAAGGCUUUAGGGUCGUAAAACUCUGUUGUUAGGGAAGAACAAGUGCUAGUUGAAUAAGCUGGCACCUUGACGGUACCUAACCAGAAAGCCACGGCUAACUACGUGCCAGCCGCCGCAGUAA